rnacentral:lncRNA from 1 species
AAUGGUGGAGAUGACUUCCCCACACAGGAGUGGGUCCUUGGAACUUCCUCACAUGGACAGGAGGUUGUGGGGCCGGUGGAUUGAUAACCUCUGGCUCUGAAUCUGUACCAGAGUCAUCUCCCCCAUCCAAUUCUAUCGGCUCUUCGUCUUCUUCGGGAUCUUCUUCGACCCAUCCUCCAUUACCUUGGUUGGGNUAACCUCUGGCUCUGAAUCUGUACCAGAGUCAUCUCCCUCAUCCAAUUCUAUCGGCUCUUCGUCUUCUUCGGGAUCUUCUUCGAUCCAUCCUCCAUUACCUUGGUUGGGGUAGUAGGGGUCAUUGGGGUGGUGGAAUCCAGCCAUUGAGUCUGUACGAGAAUAGGGUUAAGAAUUUACUAUAUGCUAGAGCACAUGAAAUUUACCCUUAAGUUUAAUGGCUGAUGUCAACACAAAAACUCCCUUAGUAUUAUGUAAUGAUGUGCUUUUGGUAAGUUUUAAAAUUGUUGUCCACUGCAGACACUCCUUGGCACACGUUAGUCGACUCUCGGACAAAUAUAGUUGAUCAGGCUAUAUUCUUCCCAGUUCCGAUUACAUGUCCCAAGGCGUACCUGUACUGCACAACUUAUUUAUAAUACUUCUAAAAUUAUCCGAUAUGAAACUGUUAUUAGUAUGAAAUGAGUGCAUGCCUACUUUAAAAACUAAUUAAAUUUAAUUUCAAAAGUAUGACUCUUCUCAGAGUGUUUUUGCCCAGUUGAGUUUAUAGUUGUAUACCAAAAAGAAAUGGUUUUGAUAUACUUAAUUCCCUAUAAACAAAGCUCUGAUACCAAUCUGUCACACCCCCAAACCAGAACGGCGGAAACGUUCGGGGGCGGAGGACGUCAUAUUCAGUAUCAUAACAGUUCAUAGAAAGGAAAGUACACACCACCAUACAUAUAUAAAGGUUUUAAAAAUGUUUACAUCAUUGUAUUCAUUACAUGCUCAAAAGAUAAAUGCAUAAACAUCUUUCAAAAGAAGUAAUUAACGCCAGCGCGUUAAUCCCCAAAAGUUGAUUUCCAAACCUGCUUAACGGUUCCCUGAGA